UACGAAGGGUGCAAGCGUUACUCGGAAUUACUGGGCGUAAAGCGUGCGUAGGUGGUUUGUUAAGUCUGAUGUGGAAGCCCUGGGCUCAACCUGGGAACUGCAUUGGAUACUGGCAAGCUAGAGUGCGGUAGAGGGUGGUGGAAUUCCCGGUGUAGCAGUGAAAUGCGUAGAGAUCGGGAGGAACAUCUGUGGCGAAGGCGACCGCCUGGACCAGCACUGACACUGAGGCACGAAAGCGUGGGGAGCAAACAGG
rnacentral:rRNA from 1 species